AGAUACAAAAAGCCCAAACAUUGAGACCACAAGGGAGUCCAAAAUCAAAUAUUUUGGACGAUCAAUUAGAGAGAAUAGAGUUGGGAGGAGAGGGCAAGGAAGAUAGGCCAAUAUAGAUGUAGAUUCGGAAAAUCAAAAAAGGAAUAAGAAAAAAGCAGGGUAGAAAAAUACAUUCCAUACUUGAAAUUCAAGAUCGUUUCCUUUCAGUAAUGGAGAAAAAAAAAAGAGAGAUCGGGCGUUGAGGAGAGAAACAGGGAAAGGAAUAUUGGCUUGAGAUGAGACUACUGUAAAUGCUUCUCUUUUUUAUUAUGAUAUAAGCAAUAGAAGGAAAUUGAUCCUCAGGGAAGCAAAAAAAGCUUAACCUGUUGGAAAAAGGUUGGGAUUUAGCAUAAAAGGGGACGAGCUUGAAGUAAUAAAUGAAAUAAUAAGGUUAGAGGGGGACUGUAGAGUUGUGGAGCAGAAGGAAUUCGGGGAUCGGCCAUAACUGAAAUAGGUAUGGUUUUUUAUUACUUGGAUUAUCUUUGUCAUUUUUCAAUUGCAUUUUUGUUUUGUGAGUUGGUAUGAGGAUUGUGUAGUGGAAUAUUAAAGGUAUGGGCUCAGAAGCUAAGAUAUUAUCUGUUAAAAGAGUCAUAUCAACGCAAGGGUGAUUAGCUGUUUUAUUUAAGAAACUAAGUUAGAAACAAUCACUAUUGACAUAACAAGGAAAAUAUGGUGUGACGAUAUUUUGGAUUAUAGAUUUUCGGAAACUAUUGGGUGUUCAGGAGGUGUGGUUAAGAUUUGGGAUAGAGGUGGUGUUCAAGUGGAUAAAGAUCUUUGUGAUGAAAGGUUUGUAUUAGUAAAAAGGAAAUGGUCGGUUGCAGGCAUGGAAGCAACCCUAAGUAAUGUUUAUGUCCAUAAUGCAAUUUUUGUUCAAAAGAUAUUAUGGAUGAAUCUUUUAACCUUAAAGAACUUGUUUUCUUGUCUUCGGAGUAUUCGUGGUGAUUACAAUACAGUGAAAAAUAGAAGUGAAAGAAGCAAUUGUGUGAGUUUAAAGAAAGGUAAAAACGAAUUUAAUAACUCCAUCGACAACUGCAAAAUGGUGGAUUUAACUUUGACGAGGAAAAAAUUUUCUUGGUACGAACCUAAUAAUAAGAGGAGCAGAUUGGAUCAAUUUUUAUUGGAAGAGCAUUGACUUUUACGUUUCAAUGACUUCUGACAGCAGGGAUUAAGUAUAUCUAUUUCUAACCAUCUCUUGGUCUUGUUAUUGAAUGAAUUAGUAGAUUGGUGACAACAUCCGUUAUUAAUGCGUGGCUCACAAAAAGGAUUGUUCAAGCCUUAUCAACAAAGUAUAGGGAGAGAUGGGAAUAUCGAAUAUGUGGAUGUCUGGAAAGUUGAGGAAAUUGAGGGUCGCUCUCAAAAAGUGGAAUGAAAAUUUCGGAAGUAAACUAGUUUAAAGGACCGAAGUAAUUGGAAAAUAAGAUAAUGGAAUUGAAUGAAAUCAAUGAUUGAGGAGAUUUAAAUGAAUCAGAAAUGGAUGAGCUUAGACGAUUGAAUAUUGAAUUGUGGGUAGCAAUUAAAUGUCGUGAACCGAUUUGGUGUCAAAAAUAAGAAUUAUUUUGUUAGGUGAAGGUGAUUCCAAUUUUGUUUCUUUCAUAAAGUAGUAAAAAUUAGAUCGAAGGAAAAGAUAGUGCAUGGCUUAAAAUUUGAGAAUUCAUGGUGCAAUGAUACAAAGUUUUUGAAGGAAAAAAUGUUCAAUUCGUUCAGUAAUUACUUUAACAGCUCAUCGAGAAAAUGGUUAGUGGAUAUGGCUUUGAACUUUAAGAAGAUUUUCGAGGAAGAUGCAGCGAAACUAAAGUUAUCUUUCACGUUGAAAGGGAUUAAGGAAGCAUUAUGGAGUUGUGACACCAAUUCAUUAGUGUUAAUUUCACAUUAGUUUAUACAAAUGGUAAUGGUAUGGCUACAAUGUUGGCUAUUGCUGGGGUGAGAAGAUCAACGUUAGUUAAAGCUUGAUGGUGAUCUAUUCUUGAUUAUUUUUUAGUUGUUUGUUUAGAUGUUGGACUUUUUGUUUCCUUGUUCAAUUGGGUGUUUUUUUUAUUUUUGACAAGGAAUGAGGUUGGUGUUACCUAAUGUCUUUCUAUUAUUAAUAUAUGCAUAUCGAUUGAGCAAAAAAAGUUAUCUACUACUUUAUUACGGUGUCAACUUAUAUGAUCAUUCCAAAACUAAUAAUUAAUAUUCCAAAACUUUUUAUGCACACAUUUUAACUUAAAUAUUAGGGUUAAUUGCACUAAACAUGGACAAACUGUGAUCAUGAUUUCAAAGCAAUCCUUAAACUUUAAAAUAUUCUAAUUGCAUUCUCAAACUUUUGGUGUUGUAUUUAUUAGUUCCUUACAUCAACGAAACUUUUCACUUAACUGUUAAACACCAUGUCAUAUAUGAUGUGGAUAAAAUCAUAAUAAGAUGCGAAUAAUUUUUUAGGCAUUUAUGCUAACGUGGAAAAUUAACAAUUAAAAUAAAGUUAAAAAAGGGGUCAUAUAUACCUAAAUUAAACAAUAAUAAAAAUAAAAAAAUUAUAUUAAAACAAAAAGUAGAGAACCCUCAAUUAAACAGAAAAUUCUUUAUUUAUUAUUUAAAAAAAUUACUAUGUAAAUGUGCAAAUAUUUUAGUUUUAUUUAUUGUUUUUUCAAUUGUUCCUUUUGAGUUGUUUUAGGAUGGUUUGCUCAGCUUCUCGAAUGAGAAGGCACUUGUAGUGUUGUGAUAACUCAGAACAUGAUUAAGUCCUUAGGUGAGCCAUGCAGCUUCUGUUGAAUUCACAGAAUCUUUAGAAAGAAAGUAGAAUAGAAGAAAAAGAAGAAGAAGAAGAAGAAGAAGAAGAGGGAGGGAAGGAGGGAGGAAAUAGAAUCUGUAAUAAUUGUCAGUUGGAAAAACCAAUAAUUUUCCCCUCUAUUUAUAACAGAAUUCUAGUAGUUUAGUUGGUAUAAAAGACUAACACAAAACAAAUUGUUUCAUUAAAGUCCCAUUAUAUUUCCCCAUAUGACAUUGUUUUAUUUUAAUACACAACAAUUUCUCCCUACUAAUGAAAUUCUUGUCCUCAAGGAUCAAAAUAAGGGAAUUGUUGUUUCAAGUCAUGCAAGACCUCCCAUGUAUGCAUAUUUAAGGAAUGAGUUAGUCCAUUGCACCAAAAUAUCUUUCACAACUCGGUUUCCAUGAUUGGCCGUCCUUUUUUCUCUCAUUUGGUAGGUAGCUAUUUUACAAUUGCUCCAUAAGAUCCAAUGAUUAGCAACUCAGCAUGACAUUCUUCCUUUACCACAUGUUUCUUUAACUUUUAAACAUGAAAAGUGGAGCGCACCUUGGACCCAGGUGGCAGUUGCAACUAAUAAGUAACUUUCCCCACUCCAACCAACACAAGAAAUGGACCAAAGAACUUGGGAGAAAGUUUUUGGUUACCCCUUAUCUUGAUUGAAUGUUGUUUGUAUUGUUGUAAAUUUAAGUACACCAUAUCCUCAACUAAAAACUCCCUUUCACUCAUUUUUUAUAAGCCAUAUGCUUUAUUCUGUCCCUGGACCUGUGCAAGUAGAAUUUCAAUAUUUUUAAGGUCACCUCACGAUGUUGCAAACUUAUAUCCACUAUUGCUACCAAAGAAGAACCUACCAAAUAGGGAACAUGCAAUGGAGGUGGUUGUAAAUGCAAAACUUCAAAUAGAUAGGUGUGAAUUGCAAUAUGAUAACAUGUAUUGUACCACCAUUUAGCAAGAAGGAGCCAACUGUACCAAUCACCUGGCCUCUUUCCUAAUCAUACACCUAAGCUAUCCUUCCAAACAUCUAUUGAGCACCUCAAUUAGCCCAUUUGUCUGAGGAUAAUUGGUUGUAGACAACUUGUGCUUAGUUCCUAAUCUCUUAAACAACUCUUGCCUGAAAGUAAUGAUGAAAAUCUUGUCUCUAUAAAAACAAUUGAAUCAAGUACCCCAUGUAAUUUAUACACUUAAUUCAAAUACUAUUGUUUCAUAAUCAAGGUGGUGUGGGGAUAGACCAACCCAAAAAAUGGUCUUAUUUGGUUAAUUUGUCUCCCACAAGUAUGAAACUCUUACCCUUUGAAAUAAGAAGACCAUCAAUGAAAUUUAAGCUUACUUCUGCCCAUGCUCUACCUAGCACAAGCAAAGGCUGUAGCAAACAUGGAAAGGCUGCAUUAUCAACUUUGCCUAUCUGACAUACCACACAUUCAGCCACCCAUCUCUUAACGUGUCUACUAAUUCCUUUCCAAUAUAAAAUACCAGACAUCCUACUCCUAGUAGCAUCCUAAAGCACUAUUCUGGAAGUAGUCAAAUAGGUCUUUCUUUAAAUCCCCAUCUUUUCCAAGUACCAACUUCCCUUUUUCUCUUUAAGCAUUGCCAUCCUAUGAAUACUUAGGAUGAGAAGUAUCAUUGAAUCCUACAUCAAAAAUUAUCUUCUACAACUUGCUAUAUGUUUGCCAAUACCCUUGAAUCCUUGGAACUAAAAUAGAAAUAAUUAAAAUUCCAAUCAGUUGAGAGAAUUAAGCCCUAGCCAUAGUUUUCCCAUCCACCAAAUAGGAUUCCUAGACAAUAAAUCAGUAGUUAUAUUAGUGGCACCCUUCCUACAACAUAUCUCAUAGUCAUUCCUUAACAUCUUGGCUACCUUUUUAUAUUGAAAUGGCAUGAUAGCCUAAUUGUUUAAAAGUAAUCUUAAACUCUGAUGAUUUGUACAAAUUGUAAAAUGUAUGCCAAUAAAGUAAAACUCCAUUUCUUUACAGCCAUGAGCACAACUAGCAUCUUCUUGUCAUAAAUGGAUAAAGCUUGGUGCCUUGGCCCCAAAGUUUUACUAAAAUAGGCUAAGGGUUGCCCCUUCUAUUGUAACACGACUUUACCUACAAGCUAAAAGCCAAUCUCAACUAUGAACUCACAAUUGAAGUUUGGAAAGGCUAGUAUAGGUGUUGAACAGAAAGCCAUUUUAAGCUGUUGAAAGGUCCCCUCAGCUAUCUCACCCUAUUACUAUUGGUUCUUUUUCAAAAGAAUCAAUUAAAGGUUUUUCCAAACUGCUAUAGUCCAUCAAAAAACUUUUAUAAUAGCUAGACAACCCCCAAAAAUCCUUUCAGAUCCUUAAUAGAUUGAGGAGCUGGCCAAUCUAGCACACAAUACAUCUUGGACUUGUCCAUAGCAACUUCUUCUUUAAAAAAUAAUGUAGCUUAAGUACUCAACUUCCCUAGCUCCAAAGCUACAUUUAUUCUUCUUAGCAUAAAACUUAUGCUUCCUCAAUAGCUACAAGACUUUCAUCAAAUACUUCAAAUAACUAAACCCAUCCUUUGAAUAUAUUAAUAUAUCAUCAAAAAAGACACUAUCACAAAUUUCUACAGUCAAGGCCUAAAAACUGGAUUUAUCAAGGCUUGAAAAUUGAAAGGGGCACUGGUGAGCCUAAAGGGCAUCACCAAUAACUCAUAGUGGCCCUCAUGAUUUUUUAAAGGAAUUUUGUGGAUGCUUUCUUCCUUUAUUCUGAUAUGAUGAUAGCCAUAUCUCAGGUCCAAUUUAGAAAGAUAGGCAACCAGUCUAAACUUAUCUAACAACUCUUCUGUUAUUGGAAUGGGAAACUUGACCUUCGCAAUGAGUUGAUUCAACUAUCUUUUUUAACCAUCAUAAUUAAAUAUGCAAAUGAAUUAUUAUUGGCUCUAAUUAUCCCCGUAGAUGAUAUCUCAUUAAUCAAUUUCUCAAUCUCAUCCUUUUGAAUUAUGGGGUGCCUAUAUGGUCUCACCUUAACCACUUUUGUCUCAUCCUUAAGGGAUAUCUUACGAUCUUGUGACCUUAAUGGGGGAAACUUAGAAGCCUCUUGAAAUGCAUAAUUGAAUUCCUACAACAAGGUCUAUAAUUCCUAAUGAACUUCAUAUUUCUUCACCACUAAUUUUUAUUGUGCUUGAGCAGCCAUAAGAUAAGCCCUGAACUUAAUUGUCCCUUAAAUCCCACCAUAGAUAAGGAUUUAGAACUCAAUUUGGCAUCCAUCAACUGAAUCGCACCUAGCACAAUGCCCUUUAGCACACAAGGCUGAUGCUCAUACAUAAAUUGCAUGGACAAGUAAGCAAAAUUCCAAAUAAUAAGGCCAAGUUCCACUAACCACUGUAUAACCAAGACCACAUCACAUCCUUUGAAGGGUAGGAUCAUGAAAUCAGUCGCAAAUUUUAGACAUUGAGUUUCCCAUUAUACAUUCUUACAUUUUCCCUUGGUGAAUUCAAAACCUCCAUCGACCACUACCACUCUUAAAUUGUACUAUCUCCAUAUAGGCACACCUAACAUCUUAACAACCUCCACAAUCAAUAAAUUAUGAAUACUACUAAAAUAACCAAUACCACCACCUAUUGACUUCCAAAAUAAGAUCUUAUCCAUAUUGUCACUCCCUCAUUAGACUUUUACAUUACAUGAAGAGAUAAAGUGAGAAGAGUUCGGUCACUAUCUUGUGUUUGAACUAGAUUCUCACAAUCCAAAAAUUUAUCCUCCCCCUGACCUUCAACCUCAUCUAACAAGAUUUGGUAUAACUGAGAUAUAGUACAUCUAUGCCCUAGAAAAGACUUAGCUCCUCACCAAUAAUAAAGCUCUUCUUUUUCCUACCUUCUAUUUCGAUAGGAGAAAGGUGUUGGAAAAAUCUGGUUUAGAAAAAGGUUUUAUAUCAUAGCGGAAAAUUAAAAUUUGAAAAUUGAAUCCUUUUUAUAUUUAUAGUAAUAACCUAUUUCUCGAAAAAUACUUGUACUUUUUGUGAGACGGAUUCUCGACCUUCUUGACUUUCAACUAAACGAUCUUCUCCAUUAUUCUUGCACCACAAAUUGCUUUGAGUCUGGGCUUGGACAAUCACAAACCAAGCACAUAACCUGAAAUGAUUUAUUACUUUCAAUAGAAAAGUAAUUCACUCUCAAUAGAAACGAAUAGAAUUCUAGUUCUCAAAAAAUAGAACUUAUUCUUAAAAAAUAAAUUCUCACUACUUUCUGGCAAAAUAAUAAUAUUUGAAACUUCCUCUUCUAUUAAUAGCACUACUAGUGUUAUCUAUUUAUAGAGAGAGAUAGAAGAAUCCUAGUUGAAUUAGUAAAACACAAAUAAUAUUUAUUUAAUAAGAAACAAUAUUAUACAAGUAAAAUAGGAUGGAUGACACACCUUUGUAAAACUACAAGGUUUUCUGCCCCUCUCAUGUAUGAGAGUAUUUGGACCUCUCCAAUUAUAUGUGAUUCCUGAACUUUUAAUCCAACACUUUAUACUUUAACCCAACCACAAUACAUGUUUUCUAUUUCCUAAAAUAAAUAUUAUUUCUGAUUAAAUAAUUUUCUCAAUUCAAUUCUAAUUUCAUAAAAGUCAUGAUAGUUUUAUCGUAAAAGAAUCUAUGAAGAAAUAUAUUAAAUUUUCAUAUUCAAUGGAGUCACAAUUACUAAUUAAUUUAAUUCCAUUUUUGAACUUCAAUUAAUUAAUUAAUAAUUCUAAAACCUUCAAUUAAUUACCAUUUCAUUUCUAUACUCAGUGAGAAAGCACAUUCACUUGUAAACAUGACCCUUUCUCUAAUUCAUCAUUUUCAUCCAUUUAUGUUCAUUUGGUUCUACAUGAAAUUCAUUUCUGGUGUCAACGAGCUAGCAGAGGGACCAGUUGAAAAUAUGUAAUUACGACUCUAGUAAUUUAUAAUUAAGUUUGAGCUUUUCACCUACUAAUUAUAAAAUUAUUUAUUAAUGAAGUAAUUCCACUAUAGUAUCGUAACUAAGCUUUCCCUAGUUUCAUAGGUUGUGAAAGAAAGUCUACAACAACAGUACAAUUGAAUGAUCCAUCUUGUUUGCGAGUGGUCACAUGGCCUAACACGACUGACCCGUUGCUUGGAGAGAUUGAAGGCCCACAUACAUAACAUGGAAAAUAUGGGAAGUAGUCUUAGAAGAUUUGGUUCUGUAAAUAUUAGGAGAUUUGAUUUGUAGAUUGCUUUUAAUCUUGGUCAUUGAUGUACUUUAUUUUGUACUGUUGGAUCUAGGGGAGCUCAACUAUAAAUAGAGGCUUCUCCCCCUCAUUUGUAAUCACUUCAUUCUUGAGUAAUAGAAUUCUUCAAGAGCAUUCACUCAAA
rnacentral:lncRNA from 1 species